rnacentral:sRNA from 1 species
CCGGAAGGAGUAUUUCAUAACAGUCUUACAUUAAAUGCGUUCUAGAAAGAUGUUUGAAUUUUCCUUUUUUUCUUCCUUUGCAUAGCUUUUUCUCUGUUCUUUCUUUGUAGCAGCAGUGAUGAUAGAAGAGAAACAGUAAUGAUGGUGACAGUGACAGUGAUAAUGUAGUGCAAUGGUGAAGGUUGUCUGCUUUGUGGAGACUUUCCCGUGCAUAGCUGUGUUGUGGUGUGUGGUCUCUGAAAACUAUGGUGAAUGUGUUGCUGUUGGUGAGGUCCAGGGAAGUGGUGCGAUUUGUACAACUGAAGCACAUUGUGGGAUAUAGGAAAACAAAUAUGGUUUUCAUUUUCGAGGUACGUUCUAGGUUACUGGAAAACAGAGCAGGUUUUCGGAAAACAUGAACCAAAACAGAGGUGGGAGGGGUUACUAAUUCCGGAGUUGUAGUAUAUGGUUCCAAAAAAUUUCAUUCCAUAAUAGUCGAGUUGAUUUUUCUGAAAACGCAAACCGGAAACGAGAAUCCAAAGUACUUGCCGAAAAAAACUUUUUGGAUGGUCUCGGAAUCAUCUUUUCGAUACAUAUUUUCAUAACCAAAAUGGACAGACAUUGGUAAAGAGUCAGAGGAAGAACCCAAAUUCCCGAAGAACAAAGAUGUUGGUUUCGUGAAGAUGAUUCUCACUAAGUCCAUGGUGGUUGAAACCUUUUGUGAAUACCCUCCACUUGGUCAUUUUGCUGUGAAAGAUCUGUGUAAAAAAUGUAUCAAC